rnacentral:misc_RNA from 1 species
AAAAAGCGCUUGGCAAUACAUGCCAGCGUUCUACUACGACGAACAAUACUGUGAACAAAGUCGCCAGAGUGGUCGUAUUCUUCCUCCAAGGUCAAUAAAUUCUGUAUCCAGUCGUUCCCAGAUUUGACUGACUUGGGUCCUCGAAUGGAUUCGUGGGUCGGAUUCGCCGUGGGAAGGGACGUGGAGGAUCUCACAUUGGAUUUUUCCCUCGACAAUUUCAAUUACGAGCUUGAAUUCCUAGGGAUUGUCAAUUCGGUUGGUUACUAUUUGCCUCAAUUCUUGCACCACAAUUCUCGGUUGCGUAAUUUGAAGACCGGUUGUUGUGAGUUUGUGUCUGAUGCUCCGUCUCAUGGUCAUCACUCAAGGAUCUGAGUAUAGGGCAUGCUGGUUUGACUGAUGAAGUGAUGCAAAAUGUUCUAGAUGGUACUCCUGUGCUUGAAACCUUGAAAUUGCUCUCCUGCGUUGGAAUUUAUAGGCUUGACCUAUCUUUGAAUUCUCAUUUGAAGGAGUUAGUGAUACAUGGAGUUGUUUUCUGAUGAAGAGGAUGAUACUGUGCUUGAAAUUUCAGGUCCUCACCUUGAGAUUUUGGAAAUUUUUGGUUUUGGUGUAAGAAGAAGUGUAAAUUGAUGAAUAUGUUAUCUUUGAGCAGGACUAUCUUGGAUUUUCAAGGAAAAAAAGGUACUCAUGAAACUUGGAAAGAUUUCCUAGGCAAGAGUCAAAAUAUUGUCAAGGAGUGUCUGGAGAAUGUCUCUUUAAUUUAUUUCGAUUAGAAUCCUUGUGCUCGCUAUAGUUCCUAUUACAAUUGAUUUGCUCUCUCUCUUUAAUUUUUUUUAAAAAUUUUCUGUUAUAUGCUAGCGUAAUUAUAAUAUCCAAUGUUUCUUGUCUGUUCUCUUAAUUAGCGGCAGUUUGCGAGUCAAAACUUGAAUCAUGAAGGGUUUUGGUUUUAUUUCACUGGGGCAUGAGUGAUAGGGUGGUAAUGUUUUAUUGAUUUUCUUUUUCUUUUUAGGAUAGGGUAGAUCUUUGAAUCUAUGACCACUGUUUGGAAUUAUCCUUAGAUAUACUAAUUGAACCAGUCCCAAUUACUAGGUUCCAUUUUUAAUGGUAUUAUGCUUAGUAGCUCCAUUUUUGAAAUGUAAAACAAUCCGUAGAAUAGCAAUAAUAACUUCAAGGGUGUUCUUGAGUUAUCCAGCUCACUUAGUGAUAAAGUGGAUGUGUUUGAUUGAUAAAUAUGAUAAUUAUUAGUUGAUCAAAAGACUUGAAAGAGUAAAAUUUAUUAGUGUAGAUCCGGAGUUCAUGUGAUUAAGUUUGGCCAUGAUCCAUGUUCUUCUUUUCUUGUUGCUUUUAGUUUGUUCUCUGCAAAUUGGAAAUUUUGGUCAUCUCUGCCUUUUCUCUUUAUUGACAAUAAUGCUCUAUAUUUGACAUUGGAUUUGUGUUAUUUUGUUUGUUUUGUAUGUUUCUUUUCUGUGGCGUUUAUGAAUGGGGAUUCUACAACAUUUAGGAUGAUGGAUGUUUUGCUGCCUCCAUCGUUAAGUUGCAAAUGCUUAAUUCUUGAUGUUGACAGUUUCAGUAACCAGUACAUCCCUGGGAUAGCAAGUCUACUUUGCUGUUCAUAUAACCUA